AGAGAGAGAAAUUGAUAUAGAGAUAGAUACAAAUACAUAGAGAGAUAAAGCUAUUAGAUAGAUAUGGAGCGAUAGAUUGAUCGAUGGAUCUCGGCACACAUAUUAGAGUCCGCUUUGAAGACACCCAGGGAGCCGAGCUCAGAAGGGGCCGAGCUGCCUCUUAACCGAGGACCAAGAGGGGCCAGGUGCGGGACAACCCGGUGAGGGCCUUUGGGGGGACAGGGUGUGUUUGUCGGGAGGAGGGAGGAGCCAACUGGGUGAGCUCCUUUCAGACAAGGGCUGCUUCUGUUCUUUCUCUGCAUUCCUUGCGCUUCCUUCCCCCAUCUUGCCUAGGAGGGGGUUUUGAAAGGCUAAGACAGAAGCUAAGAAACUAGGACGUGAACCCGGCUCUCUCCUGAUUCCAAGACCACUGCUCAGUCUGCCAGCCCAUCUUGCCAGCCCAUUUUACAGCGCCUUCUCGGCCCGGAUCUGCCGCAGACCUCGGAGAUGGCCAAAGACCACAGAGACGGCGGCCUCCAGGAUGGCCCCGAUGUGGAGGCCGAUUGAUCCCUGCUCCCAGGAGAAAUGAGGGAGGCCAGACUGUACAAAGAAGCCCAUUCAGGCCAUCCAAGCAACCUUCCCCAGGUGCUUUGGGCGGGGCCGUUAAAGGCAGAUUCUCAAACCUUUUUUAAAAGAAGUUUUCCACUUGAAAAGCUCCAAGGCGACUUUGGUUUCUGAAGGUGCUCCCGAGUUCCUUGCUGAGAGUCAGAGAAGAGGGAAAUGACCCUGCGUGUCAGAGAAAAAGCAUCUCCCCUUCACUCCUCCGGGGAGAAAUCAAAUUCCAUCCCAUCAAUCUUUCUUCCAUGGCAGAGUGUGCAGGGUACCACACGGUGCACAAUCCUGACCCUGAACGGGGCCAUAAAAUACUGAUUUUAAAAGCAAAUCUUAAAUUAGGAGACGGUGCUAAAGGGCCGCUUUGCAGAGCUCCAAGCACUACACGCACGCUGGCCAUCAGUGUUCAAGGGCUGGGAUUUUCUAUUACACGGUCUCUUAGGGAGUCUCGGCAACGUCGGUGUCCCCCAGCCCCAAAGGGCUGAGUCUGGAGAGAGAAGAAGCCUUAGAUGCCAUCUCAGUUAAUUCCUUCAUUGUACAGUCAGGGAAAAUGAGACUCAGGGACAUUAUGGGACACAAGGAAGAUGUGUCCGGACUAGGACUUAAACCUUCCCCGGUUCAAUAAGUAUGUAUUGAGAAUUUACUGUGUGAAUAAAACUGGGGUAGGUGCUGAGAAAGACACAGAGCUCGCGAAGAACCCAUCUCGUCCUUGCCUCAGAGAGCUCACGGCUCGGAGGGGAGACGAGGAAAAAACCCCCCAAAACGAUGUUGUAGGGUCGGGGUAUCCAGCACGAGGGCCCCGAGCUAGAUUAAAAUGGAAUUGGGAAAUACUGGAUAAUGAUGGAAAAAAACAUGACCUAGAUGGUGUUAAUGUACAGAGAUCCUUAUGUGUGGUUUAGUGGCUCAUUUCCACUGAGUUAGAGUUAGAGACGGGGACGGUCCGAGCUGGGGAGAAAAGCAUCCUCAGAAAGGGGCCGUCAAACCCCACACAAAGUCUCGUCAAGUUCAGGCCAUUUUCCUCUGGGAAGGCUGCAUCUCACAUGAUGGACACCCAGCCCCCAGCCACAAACAACCCACUGGCACCCAGAGAACUAAGCCCUGUGGGGACGGGCCCCGGGGCCCCGGGUCCCACUGUUAGGGCCAUGGCGCAGUUGUGAGCCCAAGGGCCCUCACAAAUGCUGGUGAUUGGGCAAUUUUAUCUGCAAAUUUAGAAGACAAGCCCCUAAGUGUAUGUUCGCUUCUACCCUAGCGCCUACCACAAUGCUCUGGGCCCCCAAGAAAUGCUUUUUUCAGGAAAGGGGAAGGGAAAAUGCAUUUCUGUACAGCACCUACAAUGUCCUAAGCAACUUGGUGGCUAAACUGUGCUAAGCAAUUCAUAAUUAUCUCAUUUGAUCCUCAAAACAAGCUUGGGGGAAAGAUGCUGCUGUUACCCUCAUUUUACACAUGAAAAAACUGAGGCAAAUAGCCAGAAAGUGACUUGUCCAGAAUCACACAGCUGGAAGUGUCUGUGGCUGGACAGAAUUUCAGGACUUGAUUUAUAGAAAAUAAGGAGAAAAGGCAUGGACUUCCAACUCUGUCUUUAAAAAAGGGAGGACAAAGUCAGGAUUGCAAAAAAGGCAGCAACUCACUCCAAAACCCAAUGAGAAGAAUGCUGAGAAAUGCAGAAUUGGCCAAAUGUAAAAAAAAAAAAAAAAAAAAGGAAAGGGG